CCCUUAGAUGUUCUGGGCCGCACGCGCGCUACACUGAUGAAUUCAACGAGCACUAACCUGUGCCGAAAGGUUCGGGUAAUCUUGUGAAAUUUCAUCGUGAUGGGGAUUGAUUAUUGCAAUUUUUAAUCAUAAACGAGGAAUGCCUAGUAAGCGUGAGUCAUCAGCUCACGUUGAUUACGUCCCUGCCCUUUGUACACACCGCCCGUCGCUCCUACCGAUUGAUUGAUCCGGUGAAUUACAUAGAAUUUUGCGUUUUACAUGACGGAAGACGAAGUGUUUUAAACCUUAUCAUUUAGAGGAAGGAGAAGUCGUAACA
rnacentral:rRNA from 1 species